GUUCCGUGCCGACCCCAUUUUACCAAGACGAUAUACCAGCCGGGUUAAAAAGAUUUAAGUAUGUCGGUACUAUUUAAAUAAUGAAGUGUUCAGUGAAGGAACCCCGUAAUUUGGCCGUAUUACCAGAGUGGUCGUAUUAAUGGGGUAUCUUUAUAAGAAAAUGUAUUGUCUUGGCGUUUCCAGAACACUUCAGUAGUUUAUAAAUGUGGAAUUUGAUCCAGUUACUUCUGUUUCUAGAAUUAUAGCCUGCGAACAGGCUCUCAAGUUGAAUUGAGAGCCUGCAUCGAUGACUAAUGAAUUUGAAUAUCUGCCCCGUAACGUUCGUUUUUCCAAAUAUGGAAUGUCUAUCCUUAUAUGGUGUUGUUUACAACUUUCGUGCAAACUAAAUUUAGACCGUACAAACUAAAUUUAGACCGUACAGUUUAUACUGUUUUUCG